rnacentral:hammerhead_ribozyme from 1 species
GUCCAGCUGACGAGUCCCGAAUAGGACGAAACUCGCGUUCUGAAU